rnacentral:rRNA from 1 species
AUGAUUUUAGUGCUUGCACUAAAUGAAACUAGAUACAAGCGAGCGGCGGACGGGUGAGUAACACGUGGGUAACCUGCCCAAGAGACUGGGAUAACACCUGGAAACAGAUGCUAAUACCGGAUAACAACACUAGACGCAUGUCUAGAGUUUGAAAGAUGGUUCUGCUAUCACUCUUGGAUGGACCUGCGGUGCAUUAGCUAGUUGGUAAGGUAACGGCUUACCAAGGCAAUGAUGCAUAGCCGAGUUGAGAGACUGAUCGGCCACAUUGGGACUGAGACACGGCCCAAACUCCUACGGGAGGCAGCAGUAGGGAAUCUUCCACAAUGGACGAAAGUCUGAUGGAGCAACGCCGCGUGAGUGAAGAAGGGUUUCGGCUCGUAAAGCUCUGUUGGUAGUGAAGAAAGAUAGAGGUAGUAACUGGCCUUUAUUUGACGGUAAUUACUUAGAAAGUCACGGCUAACUACGUGCCAGCAGCCGCGGUAAUACGUAGGUGGCAAGCGUUGUCCGGAUUUAUUGGGCGUAAAGCGAGUGCAGGCGGUUCAAUAAGUCUGAUGUGAAAGCCUUCGGCUCAACCGGAGAAUUGCAUCAGAAACUGUUGAACUUGAGUGCAGAAGAGGAGAGUGGAACUCCAUGGGUAA